GGGGAAUAUUGGACAAUGGGCGAAAGCCUGAUCCAGCCAUGCCGCGUGAGUGAUGAAGGCCUUAGGGUUGUAAAGCUCUUUUAGCAGGGAAGAUAAUGACGGUACCUGCAGAAGAAGCCCCGGCUAACUUCGUGCCAGCAGCCGCGGUAAUACGAAGGGGGCUAGCGUUGCUCGGAAUUACUGGGCGUAAAGCGCACGUAGGCGGACUCUUAAGUCGGUGGUGAAAUCCUGGAGCUCAACUCCAGAACUGCCUUCGAAACUGGGAGUCUUGAGUUCGGGAGAGGUGAGUGGAACUGCGAGUGUAGAGGUGAAAUUCGUAGAUAUUCGCAAGAACACCAGUGGCGAAGGCGGCUCACUGGCCCGAUACUGACGCUGAGGUGCGAAAGCGUGGGGAGCAAAC
rnacentral:rRNA from 1 species